rnacentral:rRNA from 1 species
GACGAACGCUGGCGGCGUGCUUAACACAUGCAAGUCGAACGCUGAAGACCUGGCUUUUGUUGUGUUGGAUGAGUGGCGAACGGGUGAGUAACACGUGAGUAACCUGCCCUCUUCUUUGGGAUAACUCCGGGAAACGGGUGCUAAUACCGGAUAUUAUUUGGCCUCGCCUGGUGGGUUGGUGAAAGGGUUUUUUGCUAUGGGGUAUGGGUGGACGGCCUACCAGUUUGCUGGUGGGUAAAUGGCCUACCAAGCCUGUCACGGGUAUCUGGCCUGAGUGGGUGACCGGGCACAUUGGGACUGGGACACGGCCCAGAGGCCGACGGGAGGCAGCAGUGGGGAAUAUUGCACAAUGGGCGAAAGCAUGAUGCAGCGACGCCGCGUGAGGGAUGGAGGCCUUCGGGUUGUAAACCUCUUUCGCUAAUGGUCAAGCCGCAACUGUGGGUUGUGGUGAGGGUAGUGGGUAAAGAAGCGCCGGCUAACUACGUG